GCUAUAUACAGUAGAGGGGCUAUAUACAGUAGAGAGGCUAUAUACAGUAGAGGGGCUAUAUACAGUAGAGAGGCUAUAUACAGUAGAGAGGCUAUAUACAGUAGAGAGGCUAUAUACAGUAGAGAGGCUAUAUACAGUAGAGAGGCUAUAUACAGUAGAUAGGCUAUAUACAGUAGAGAGGCUAUAUACAGUAAAAAGACAGGCUAUAUACAGUAGAGAGGCUAUAUACAGUAGAGAGGCUAUAUACAGUAGUGAGGCUACAUACAGACACCGGUUAGUCAGGCUGAUUGAGGUAGUAUGUACAUGUAGAUAUGGUUAAAGUGACUAUGCAUAUAUGAUGAACAGAGAGAAGCAGUAGCGUAAAAGGGGGCGGGUGG
rnacentral:lncRNA from 1 species